ncrna:unclassified sequences drum RNA
GACUGAUGAAGCGUAAGCUGUGCUAAGAAGCAGUUUGUGUGGAGGUCUACAAAGGUUUUAGGUUUACCAUGACUUAGCUAAGGUGUGUUCCGAAAGAAAACCUAAAGG